rnacentral:sRNA from 1 species
AUAUCUCUCUGUACGGGAAGGAUGAGAAGCUUCGACCAGGGUUCGAUUCGAGCGCAGCGAGAAAGCGUUGCCGCAGGCAACGACCCGAAGG